GUUAAAUUCAUUCACCUUGAGUUGCAUAAUGAUCAUGUGUGCAUUGAUCAAGGUGAUUAUAUUUACAAAUGCAACAUCAUUAAUAAAGAACAAGAGAAACCGCCAUCAAAGCAGAAACUCAAAGGUGAUAUCAGAGAAGAAAUGCUAAAUGUUAGGUAUGUUUUUUAAUCUUUUUUUUUAUUUAUUGCAGACCUGCUGUAGUUUGCUGUCAUUCAUCCUCAUCAUUACAAGUCUAUCCAGUCUGCCAUCUAACGUCAUGGAGAUUCUCUCCUACUUGGGACUAAUGGAGAAAGGUAAGACCUUUUAUUGCACACACUUUAUUUUGUCGUUUACGCUUUGAGCUGUUUUUGAAGUCACAAGGUUUUUGGGUUUUUUGCGCUGCCAACUUCUUGGGGUAAAAAAAGAGUCAAACAGUUUGUGUAUGAAUUUUUCCAAACCACUCAAGACAACUUUACUGAAGAAAAGAAAAGACAAAAGUCAAAUAUAUAAAACAAAUGCUAUGUUUUAUACACCAAUUAAUCACACAGAUUUGUACAGUUUGAUAACACAUGAUGAACUUGUUUUCAAAUAAGCAGUAACCUCUCAGAGAUUUAUGCCUGUGUAAGACAUUCAAAGUGGAAAACGAAGCAUUUGCAAAACAGAAUGCAGACAAAUAAAUGGUUAAAUGGGCGAGAUGUCUGAGCCAGAAAACUUUUAAUAUGCUGUGAUUGUUGUUGCCAGACGGCGCAGUUAAGCUAUCUCAGAAAAUCAGAUUCUCAAAUUAGAUUUUCAUGCACUAAAGUGUCUGGUUAGAUAAGAGAGGAACACGUAUUUAGACGCUGUGGUAUUACUGCUGUAUACAUCCACAGAGCAAACAUUUAUACUUUAGACAUUCAGCUAAUGCACUUUUUUUAGACGGUUUACAAUAAGUGAAGUUUGAAGGAGGAAUGGCACCUUCUUGUCUGUGGAGUGUGUCUUUGUGUGUGUUAAUUCAGUUUGUGUUAUGCUUAGAGCAUCUCUGCAAGUUCUGCCGUCUGCUCAACACUGAGACAGAAGCACUUUAAUUAACCAGCACUGAAGGCGACACACACUCACACACACUUUCACCAGUUCCUUUCAUACCUGACUUUUAUUCUAGCUUUGCUUUUGCUCACUCACAUUCUCAAUCUCUGUCUCUCUCACUCUGUCUGUUACACACACACACACGCGCGCGCGCACACACACCGCAAUGAUUCCUUCAGAGUGCAGACGCAGGCAGAAACAGUCACUCUGAUAUUAUUAGACACUGCACUUUAGGAAGCCAGGUGAUUCAUGUUUUUAUUUGAGAACCAUAAAACAAUACAGUGUGAUUGCUGCGCCUGCUGUAGCUUCCUGUUGCAGGACACAGCAGAGACCUAUAAAUGACAGCUUUCACAUUACUCUUUGCCAUGUAAAAUCAACCAUAUUCAUCUGUAGAGCCACAGUUAAAGGGGCUUUUAAUACAGCUCUGACAGACGAAUUACACUGAUGAGCUGUGGUGAACACAGACGUCGCACAUUCAAAACUGUGUUACUUGUGUACAGGACAUGUCAGCUUUUCUAAAUGUGUAGUUUAUUCAUAAUGGUCUAAUGUGGAGCUGGACUACUGUUAUGUGUGAGACUUAUUCAAAUUUGGAGAAUUGUGAGUAUAAUGACACGGAGAUGGAGAGAGGAUUUUUGAUGAUGGCUAUAAGAACAUAAAAGAGUACAAAACCUUAAUAUUUAAAUCAUCUUUGUGAGUUAGUUAUCUGAAUUUUAAAAAAGAGAUUUAUUGUCAGCUCCUGCAGGCUCCUGCAUUGUUCACUGCAGGAUUAGCAGAAUAAAGGAGCAGAAUAGAGGAGCAAUCACAGGUGAAAAUGAAGAAGCAAUAACACAAGAGUUACUGAACUUUCCAUAGCCAUGAGUUUCUGAAUCAGUGUAACUAUCCAUUCUGCUAUGGACUGUACCCACUUGUGGAUGUCAAUGGGUGAUUUCAAUGCUUGUUCGGGUUAAUGGGAAGGGUGUGACAUCAGUCCUGUAAUGCCUACAUACAGGCAGUAGUUUUGACAGUCACUGCUGCAUUUGAAUGCAACACCAAAAUCAGCUGAUGUGAAAAGUUCAUGAAAACUUGACUCUAGGGCAGUGGAAAUGUCUUCUUUGGAUUCAGCAAGAAGAGGUUUGUUAAAGCCUGAUAUUUAACAACUAUCUGAAAUGUAAUUUAAAAAAUAUUAUGAAACCUAAAAUGUAAUAACUGACUCAAAAGAUACUGAGCCCAAAAUGUAAUAACUUGUUUCAUUUUGGGUUUUAUUACCCUAUUAAUUAUAAUUUGGGUCGUUGUUACAUUACAGGUCAUUAUUACAUAUCCGUUUUUAACAAGGCUGAUGUGUAAAGAUUUGAUUGGUUUGCAUUGUGUCCUACUCCAUACCUCAGUAUGUUGAACGUCCUUGUGGAGAGUUUAAACUGAUGAAUUAAGCCAGUCAUCAAUGACUUGGCAGACAAACCACCAAUUAGAACCUGCCUUCAUCUGAAUGCCCACACUUUCACCAUGGGAUGUUUGUCAAUGUUAGGUUCACAGUAAUUUCUGAAGUCUGAUAAUAGGUGUACACCCAGUGGUACAGUAUAGGUUAUUCCCACAUACAAAUUACACACUUAUGUAUGUAAUGCUCGAUUCUCUGUAAGUCAUUUGGAAUCAUAUUUUCUGCAUGUCAUACUGACAUCUAAGAAAAUCUGAAUCAUCUAAAUGCACAUUGUCCUUCAUUAUACCAGUGAAAAUAUUUGUCUCGUACAUAUUGAGAUCUUUUACAGAAGCAUUACUGGCAGUCCACAGCGUUAAGUCAUCUCAAGAGUACUUCUUAGCAGGAGUGCCUUCUCUUUCACCACUCUACCCUCAAGGCCAACGUAUGGGAGUGCUUCUGCUUCUUCUAUCUCAACAGAGCAACCCUGAAGCUCUGUUUGAGAGGCUGUCGGCUGCUUGCGUCGCCACUCUCUGAAAGACUCCUCUUUCUCCAGACAAACUCAUGCAUUGAGGCGGGAGGUCUCCGAGUUUCAGAGGUUUUUGACUUCUUCCAUUUUCAAAGAUGGAAUCUGUCGAGCUCUGAGUAUUAUCCUCAACCCAACUCUUCCACAAGUCCACAGAGACUUUUAGAUUGAAUUUUGCUUUUGGACAUUUUCCAUCAAGUUUUUAUGGUCAGUUCAACAGUCCAGUGACUUACACUUGCUAAAGGUGGAGGCAUGUGAUAGAAAGUUCAGUACAUCUUCAUUUCAAAAUACUGUAUACUGAAUACUCUAGGAGAAAGGUUUGAGAAAUGACUAUACUCACAAAAAGAGCUUCAAGGGGCUCUUGAAACUUAUCUUGUGUUUGCAUGUGGUGUCUGUGGAAAAGGCACCAAAUCUUCACACUAGGAUAAGCUGAAUAUCAUGAAUGAUUUUGAAACAGUCCUAACAUGUUUUUCUUCACUGAGAGCAGACUGGGAUGUGUGUCUUGGGCUGCACUGGCCUUGAACUAGCUUGGUAAAAAACAAAUAUAUCACUUGACCUCUACAGGUCAGCUUAUCGCAGAUACAGUCUCUGAUCAGUCAAAGCAAUGAAGGCCGCCUCUAUGCAGCAUUGUUAGCUAACAACAGAAAUAACCAAUAUUCAUACAUAAAACAUUCAUAUUGGGUCCGAUCAGUCUCUGUAAAGACAUGGAUCCUCAUUGUGGAUUAGAAAAUCCCCUAGAUGUCACAUAAACAUACACAGUUGCCGGAAGUGAGUAGAUAUUAUAUUAAGUCACAACUCAAACUAGGGCUGCAUGAAAAAAAAAAAACUAACAACAACUUUUCUGCAAUGUAUGUUGGAAAUGAAACAAAAGCAGAAAUUAAAUACCAGAUUAAUGCAGUUCUUUAAGUGCUCAUAAAAACAUCAAUAACACAACAAUGGACUGGUCUUCCUCUAACCAGUCAGAACAGAUAAGUUCAACAAUAAAUUCUGUCUGUCUUUAGCUAACAUUGAGGCGGAAAACAAAUUGUACUGUAUACAGUGGGUCAACUUAAUUAUCCAGCCAAUGUUAGCCUGUGUACUUUUUCAUAGACAAACGACCUGACAGCAAAGUUAAUAUUCAUGUAUUGGUUGAAAAUAGCCCCUUUGAGAAAUUUAUAGUUAAGUUCAUAAAAAGUUCAUAUAAUUAGAAAAUUGAUGGAGAAGUUAAAACAUUCCAUCUAAAUAGAACUUUGGUUAGUGCCUUCAAUGAAACAGUGCAGUUUUUCUUGACCCUGCCUCUUAAAAGGAUCAGAAUCGAGAAUCGUCUGGAACCAAAAUCGAAAUGAGGAAUCGGAAUCGUUCAAGAUCAAACGAUGCCCAACCCUAGAGACAAUCCUUCUUUUUCCAGAUGUAGUUAAUGCAGAUUAAAAUCCAGUCUUGUGUCAACACAGCACAUUCACACAUAAACAUAACAUGUUAACCGCUCUGCAUGGAAAGUUUCAGUCUGAUAUAUUUUGCGAAAGUGUAACCACUUUCAACUACUUUGUGUAUUUUUGGGGUAUUUUGACUUUUCUUGUCCAGCACACAUUAUUCACAGGCAGCUGGUGGCUGUCGGCUUCACUUUAAGGUGUUUGUGUCAUCACCCAGCAUGCCCACACACUCACACACACACACACACACACACACACACACACACACACUGAAACAUCACUAACCCUGACACACAACCGACAGCGUGUCCCUGUCCCCUUGUCACACAACCCCUGGCCCCACCUCAGUCUGUUCCCUUAGCUCGCCACUUCCCCACCACCACCCUCUCUCCCUUUUCUUUCUGUGUGUGUGUGUGUGUGUGUGUGUGUGUGUGUGCAGCGAUAAACAUAUCUGUGUGGCUCGAUGUGUGUGUUGGAGUGUGGGUACGCACACGUCUCCCUCUCCGGUCUGAAAUAUGGCUGUGUCUGCCCAGUCUGUAUAUCUUGACUCUUCCCUUUAGCAGAAAACCUUGGUAGCUGCUGAUGGAAGAAGCAGCACCACAAAUAGCUCUGAGACACAACACUCUAACAGGUCACAACAACACAGAGGAGGCGUGCACUCACUGACAUUCAGGGACUUCAUUCUUGCACUGUAUUUCUCCGACAAGAGAAUCUUGUGAUCAGAGUGGCCAGUUUUGACUACAAUAAAUUUGAUCAAACUUGCAGUAAACACAUCACAAGUGUCUGAAUUCCCCACAGUAAAUAACAACAGUUAUUUUAUGUACAGAGGCGAUACUUUCUCACUCAGCAUGUAAAAACUUCCAACUAUUGCAUUGAAUAACAACAGCGGGGGGGUUAACAAAAACACAAGAACUUCACUCAAAGUAGUCCAGGUCCAAACUGUGUGGUUUUGAUCAUUCCCCCCCUUGAAAGCUACCUUGUUGCAAAGAGUAAAUAUUUCCCUCCUAUUAUUGAGAAAUGUCUGUUAUCAAAAUCUUUGCAGAUGUUACAUUUCCUGCAGUUUUCAGUCCGAUUGAUUAAUUAAAAAUGAAGCUAUUGUCACAUUGUCAGCUACAUUUGAGUUUCACUUCGGCAUCACCAGGAGCUUUACUUUUAUAACAAACCCCCCACAUUAACAUCUACCACAGUGAUAAUUAAGAACUUUUAAAAAUCAAAUUUAAAAUCAACAAACUAAGGAAGUCAUUUUAUUGUUUGCCUUGUACAACAGAAUUAUGACUCUUGUUAGAUGAGGAAUAAAGAACAGCACAUUACCUGCAGCCCCCACACAUAAUGUCUGUGUGACACUCCUCCUUUCAGUGAAAUCUUGUCUUUUUUAUGGAAAUACAAUCAGACCGAGACGCUAAGGCAGAAGAGCUAACGUGUCUGCAGUGCAAAAUGGUUAAUAUGGUGAUUACCACUUUAAGGAAAUGAUAAAGAAAUGAUCAUAAAUGUUCUUCCUUGAGCUGCGGCACCCCGCUGUAGUUGGUAAUGGACUGGCCUGAGGUCUCGCUACAAACAAGCGGCUGCUGGAGGAAAAUCGGUAAGUGUUGAUGAAGUUAGGUGCUGUUCUGAGCAUUAUUUGUGGCUAUAGAGUGGUGUUUUGGUUGAGGUUUGCACGUGGAUCCAUAGACUGCUGUGUAUUGCUAUCGUGCAGUUGUUGCUGAAGUUGGUAUAACUAGAGAAGCAAGCGAUCGGUAACAUUCAUCUCUCAAGGGGGUGUCUAACUCGGUGUUACAGUGUGUUUGACCCCAACUCAAUUUUAUGUCAGAAUAUCCCUUUAAUCCAGAGUUGAGACACUCUACAGGUGACAAAGUGUGGUCUCACUGUAAAACACAGAAUCUAGAAAACUUUCAAAGUUAUGGAAAAAAGAAGGAAUCACGGGAAAAUGUGAAAUAGAUUUCAUAGAGACCAGAAGACAAGAACUCUGUGGUUUCACAUGUGGGAUAUGACAUGUGAUGGCAGGCCGUUGUUGUGUCUGUGAAAAGUGGCUCAUCCGUUUUUCAAAGUGUCAUUGUGUUUCACAGCGAGACAGGAUUGACUCUGUCCUCACUCCUCGUAUGCGCCGUUCUCUCAUUAGUGCCACCACGGGCUGCCAGGGCUUUAUUGGAGAGCACUUGACAGGUCACUGAGUGUUAACAUCUAAUGAGAGCAUUGCACAGUAAUCUUCAAUGUGUCACUCCGGCUCUUCAGCAGCAUAGUGAUGACUGGAGGAUGAUUGUGUAGGAUUAUGUAGAAAAUGGACCCACUCAGGUAAAGUCCCCUCAAAUCUCUCACUCUCCGCUGGCCUGCAGCUUGUAACCUGAUGAAAUCAAUUAUCAGUUCCCUCGCUCAGAUCACUGUCUGACUGGUAACGGUGAAAGAGCUGGAGACGUGGCAAGUAAAACUUUAAACAAACAAACAAAAAAAAUCAAGCAACAACUAAUUAUUCUAUCUGGAGGAAUAGAGUGACAGACCGCUCUUUACGUGGGAUGUCUGUAAUGAAAUACAGACACUCACGGUGUUCACACACAGGGGCUGUCAAGAUAUCGAACCAGAGGCCCCGGAAACCUCCCAUGGCUGCUUCAGAAACAGGAUGCACCCAUCAGCCUGGAGCGAUUCUUUCUGAGUGUUUGUGCAUUUAUUCGUGUCUGAGAGUUUGACUGUGUGCUUGGCUGUAUGCACGUCUUACAUACAUGUUCAUGCAUCUGAAUACAUCAGCUGACUUGUUGCAUUUCUCAUGUUAGAGGGGGGAAAUCAGCCCAAUGCAAAUGAAGUUAUCUUUCAUCUGUUUACUUCUCUUUGUGUGCACCAGGGAGAUCUGGAUCUUUUAGGAGAAGCUUCUGUUAUUGCAACCCAGUAGUGCUAGAGGGAGCCCUUCUCCAUUUCACCCACUGACAGCAGUGAGAAAAUACCCCAAAAACACUCUCACAUGCCCCCCCCUCCCAUCAGCCUUCUAUGCAGCCAGCGGGGCGACCGGGCCAAGGCCAGUCCAGCCCUUCAGCCACAGUGAUGGGCUCGGACGCCCCAGGGGACCAGAGGGGGACUUGCAGGGGCCUGAGCUGUGGUCAGCUACAGGGUGGGACAAAGAGCGGGGAUGCUGAAUGCAAUCUGACCCUGUCACUCAUGCAGUGGUAACACCGACGGGAGAGAAGGUUGAAGUGAAGGAGGGAAAAUCGAGAGAGCGAAAGACGUGGGGAGUCGGACAAAGAUGGAGAGCGAGGCAGAGGUCGUUGCAGGGCUGAACGGAUUCAUCAAUACAGUAAAAGGAAAGAAAGAAAAAGAUUCGAGCCUGGAAUUAUUUUGGGUCAGUCCAAAAAAAAUGUGCCACUUUGCAGAUUGGGUGUUUAGUGUAAAAACCCAAGGUCUAAAGCGGGGCUGCAGUCUGGGUGCUGAAAAGCCAUUCUCUGAAUUCUGUUCUUUAAAUGGGGAGAAAUAUUGAUCUGGCUCAGCUGGCCCUGUAGUGCUCUGUGUACAUGUGUGUGCGCGCGUGUGUGUGUGUGUGUGUGAGGCUUUGUCUUUUAGGGCCCAGUGGGGGUGGCGGUGGGGUGUUACCAUGGAUACGGCCUCACCCCCCCCCACCCCCUCCCAUGCAACCCCCUACACCUCUAACGCACACAUGUACAUAUACACCCACACAUACAUGCACUGCAACAACCGAGGCUUUAGGUGUAAAACACACAACUAUAAACACACACUCUUUAAGGCCUCCGGUCAAAAGAUGGAGAAAUUUCUCAAGGCGUUUCUGGAUGUGUCACACUCGUGCAUGCACAGAUAAGGAUAAAAACUGCGCCCUAAGGCUACACAAAGCACACACAGACGCACACACGUACACACACACACACACACACAGGAAGGUCCAAGGAAACAGACAAUCAUGGUGAAAAAAAACUGCAGAACACUAAUGUGCGACACAGACUCAUCCCUCAUCAUUUCCUUUCAAUUUACCCUCUUUGUCUCAUCUCCCCUCAAUACACUCCUCUUUUCACUCACACACACACAGACACACACAUACACACCAUAAGGAUGCCCUCUCCAUUUCUUGUACCUUCAGCCAUUCAUAUGUACUUACACACUAAUGGAAGCAGCUAUAAUGUGUCUUAACUGCAGGUAUUUUGUUAUGUUUAAAUGCAAACUAGCGGCACAGCAGUGACACACACAGACACACACAGACCCACACACACACCUGUCUUGUGGGAAUGAGACAGGAGGGGAGGGGAUCAGAGUGGUUUACUGCCAGGUAACUGAUAUAAAUACCCCUCAUUACAAUGGUGACAGGGGUUUCUUCUCUCCUCUGGCAAAAUAGCAUCAUUAAGGAUACAGACACACACACACACACAUGCAAAAGUUACAAGGCACAUGUGCAGAAAAACAAAGAUACACACACACAGAAACACACUGCUGACUUAGAAUCAGGUAAUGAUGGAGGUAACAUGAUGAGGCAGAAACAAACAAAUAAAUAUAUGCAUAACGAACACACAGCAGCGUUCACUGCGAAUACAUGUCCUCCUAACUGCAUGACGAUGACGCUGUAGCUAAUGACAGAUCGAGGAGGGUUUCUCGGGGUUGUUAUGAGGCAGGAAGUCGCAGUGCUAGCCGACACAGGGAGAUCAAUACGCCCAGGGUCAGUUACAAUAUUUAGGGUCACAUGACUCCAGGACCAAAAUAAAUCAGGAUGUGAAAUAUUGUUAGGGUGGAUGCCGGGACGGGCCUCCGUCUGAAAUGAGUGCGAGUAAGGAGAGGGAAGAGAUGAGAGCAGGACAAAGAGAAAGGGGGGUAAGAUUUUUUAGGAUUGGACAAAACAUUUCAGGUGAUGUAAAAAUGUAAGAUUGUGGUGGGAUUAAAAUGGGGUUCAGGGAAUUUUACAAAACACGUUUCUAGCACAUCUCAGGAAUCAUUUUUAAAGGACACAUUCAGGCAAACAGUAAACCAUACUGUUUUUAUAGUUUAGGAAAAUUGAAGAAAUGUGGAUGACUACUUUACUUCUCAUAAUUGAGAUCUGUGAAUAUUAGAGGGAAUAUGGAGGAGCUCAUUAGUUGCAGCCCAGGCAGUCCUCUGUCUUCUUGGCUGAUAGUUUUAUCAUACAAGUUGUUUUCAGAUUGAAAUUGAUUCAAAGUUGCUCAGUUAUUUCUUAUUUUUCUCUUCCUAUGCAAGGGUGGGAGAAAAAAUCGAUACAGGAUAGUAUCGCGAUAUUUUGUCAGGUGAUAUAUUGUAUCAUCUCAUCCACCAAGUAUCCAUUUUUCAAAUUAUAAGAUAAUAUGAACUCAAAUCUAUGAUGUUUGUCCAGUGAGGUUGGCAGAGGUAACGUUAUAGAGCAGAAGGAAGUUAGUGCAACAAAUAUAUUUAAGGUUGGCUAGAUGUGCAACAUGAAAAUAAAAUACAGUGUAAAUAAGACAAACAUAAAGGAAAGACAAAUGCUAAAUUAGCUAAACAGUUGAAAAAUUGUAUGAAUUGCAGUCAGUUGUAUUGCAAUACUCACUGUAUUGCAAAAUGAUAAAAAUUGCAAUAAUAUCGUAUCGUGGGGCCACUGAUGAUUCCCACCCCUAUUCCUACCGUUGUAUACAACAUAAUACCUUGUUUUUCUCAAUACAAUGUACUGUAACAAAUGUGUAUGUGACACAAAAUGUAACAUUUUGAUUGGUAAAAAAAAACAUGUUUCAUUGAAUACACAGUUUUAAUUGGUGAAUCCAUAACAAAACAUUUUAAAUCUUACAUGAUGCAUUUAAAUGGAAAAGUUGCUGAAAUUUCGUCUCCGUUUUCAUCCUCUUACCCUUGAUUCGUCCAAAAUGUUAACUCAGGUCAGAUCAAAUAUGACUCGUUAAUUUCUGCGAUGAGGAGGUUGGCUGUUUUGCUGAGUAAUGACCCUGCCAUCCAAACACACCUCUGACAGCUGCAUAGAGAAAACAGACGAGUGAGGAAAGAGUGUAGUUGUAAUUCCUCUUUAUGAUAAAGCUUUAAAAUUCGAGCUGAUUCAAACAUCCCCCUCUUCUGUCUUGCUUCAGCAUUUGGAGUGGAUGUGGAGAGAGUGAUAGAUGGGCUCACAGACAUGUCAUUUAAGGCCAAAGCAGGAUUAGAGGAAGCUGCUGGUGAGGUUGCUGCUAUUGGGACUGUUUAUAGAUGUUGUGUUUCACUGUUCGUCCUUGAGUGAUUGUCGGUUCACUGCCCCCACAGAAUUAUAUCUGUUUCUCUUUGGUAUGCAGCGCCCCUGCUCAGAACAAAAAAAUGUAUGAGUAUAUAAUAGACCCCUCUUGUUCUCACAUGUGUGUGCAUUUGUAUGUGCAUUCGAACGCAGGCGUGUGUUUCUGUUUGUGUAUGUGUUUGCGUAAUUGAUUGGGGAUUUCUGUGUCUAUUCACGGAAGGGUUGACCUCUGACCUUCUUAACAAGUAGCAGCUCCGCCCUCUCCUGGCCCAGAGUCCCUCAAUCUCACACUGUGUUAAAGGAAAUUAGUCACACACUUAACCACGCACACCCUGCCCAUUGUUAAGUGACUCCUAAAGUGUGUCAAAGAGGUUUCAUGGUUCCCUUAAACAGCUCUCGCCUCCCUCCCAGGCAGCAGGCACGCUCAGGUUCAACGCACAAACCCUUCAAGGGAGCAAAGCUGAGACACUCAACCUUGGCCUGUGACCCUGAGAGGCAGAAAAGAAGGGAAGUCCAAAGAUGCUGCAAACAGUGAACGGUGGCUCUGAACAGGAUGGCUUUAAUAUCUGUUUUUCGUCUAGUGAGGGGAGAAACUUUCAAAUCCUUAGAUAUGAAUGAUUAAGAUUUUUUUUUUACAUUAUCUAAAGGUGUGAAACUUCAUACUUUUGACUUCCCCUGUGGUACAAAGUGCGUUAAUUUGUUGGGGCAAUAUUUUGAUAAGGAAUAGGUUUCCUGUCACACAAGAUAAUACGCCAGAAAUGAGGAGGAAAAGUCACACGACCUGAACAAUGAGCAUCUGUUAAAUAUCACUCCAUUUGAGCACACAAAAAAACUGACUGUGUGUCACGUGACUGUGCAGUGUGAACCUGCACACAAUAUUGCUGCUGUCACAGAUGCUCCAGAGAAUGCCCGAUAAAGUGAGACGGAUUUUAAGACAGCCGUUCAGAUUCUCGCCAAGGCUGAAAUCUGCUAAUAGGACUGUAGAGUGUUUACUUUUAGAUUUCUGCACCUGCAGCACAUUGUAAGGUCAGGUGCAGUGACAGUCGGUAAAAAGAGUGAGAUGGGCAGAAGGGCUCUACACUAGGGCUGAGACUAUAUGCUUUUCUUCCGAUUCAAUUCUUCUACGAUGUUUUGGAUGCCGAUUCGAUUUAAAUUGCGAUUCUGCAAUAUUCUCGAUUUUCUUGAUUGUCAGUCUGCGUUUUUAACACCUGUGAGAGAGUUGAAUGAUUAUGAUUGUCUACUGACUUUUACAAUUUCCCCAAAAAAAUACACAUCACAUGGAAGUCAGUUUUCAAGAUUUAUUCUUAAAUUUGGGUGAAAAAAAAAGUUUUUUGAACAUAAAAAUUGAUUUAGAAAUUAUAAAACAAAAAAUCGCAAUACUUGAGUGAAUUGAUUUUUUUCUCCCACCCCUACUCUACACACUGCAGCUCAUUAUGAUUUCUGUCAAACACCAAUGAUGACGUGUAUGUAAGCAGUCAGGUUGAUCAAUAAACAGUGGGGUAAGAUUUGGAGGGGGUAUGAUUGUAAAGCUGACCCAAAGAUCCAAAUAAUAAAUGGUAGAAUUGUAUUACUUAAAAUCUUAAUAUACUGCAUUUACAUCGGGUAUAAAUCUUUUGACUUUUUUAUGUCAACCAACCGUAACAUUAUCAACACCACAAAAGAAACAGUUCUCAUAAUCUCACAUUUCUUCAAGCUCCCAUCAAACAUUGUGAUUGUUACUGCUUUGACUGACUAAACCAACAUCAGCAGAAACAAUUUGUUGUGCUUUUUUAAUGAGCAGGAAACUCGUGAGAGUCAGCAGCUGUUGAAAUCGUGAAGAUCUUUCUAUUUUUUACUGGUCAGCCAGGAUAAAUUUAGCACAGAGAUUUAGAAACCCUUUGAAAUCAUCUACAGUAUCUGUGACCCCAGAGAGAGCCCUUCACAGGGAGGAAAAAGUGGUCAGGAGUUUAAAAGGUUUCGGUGCCUACCGGUGAGGCACGGUCUAAUAAAAGACAACGACCAGUUGCAUUGUGGUAAAUGUAGGAUCCAGAGUUUGAGCUGUUAAAGGGACUAAAAGUCAGGAUGUUUUGGCCUCUGCUGCUCCGGGUCUGGCUGUUGGUUUUCUAAACUGUCUCCUGUGAGUCCACCAUCUUAAUGGAGGGGCAAUAGUUAACUGCUGGAGCAACCCUUUAAAGUGUUUCAAACAGCAGUAAUAGUCUGCACAGUCUGUCAAGUGUACCAGUGUCAAGACUUCAGUUUGUUUCUCAAUACCCAUAGUCUAUUUGGUUCGACUGGAAACCUGUGGAGUCUAAAAAUACUGCCAAGUCCUCUGGAAGACGUGCAUGAAAAACAGACCAAGGAUUUAAUAUCAUCAAAAAUAACAAUCAUAUCAGAUUAAAAAAGAGGUGGAACAUAAUAUUAAUACAGCAGUAUGUCUUUGUGUUUAUGCCUAAUUACAGGAAAAUAAGGUAAAAAGGAAAUGUACCAACAAGACCUGUAACCUACUGCUACCACCUCUAUAUUGGUCAGGUACAAAAAAAGAAGCAGAUGUAUUGAAAAUAUGGACUUUCUGAAGCGAAUUCACACCUCGAUGUGUGGGCGGGUGUGUUUGCACCCAUGUGUAUGAUUGUGUGAAUUUCUGAUAGCCUCACGGAUGAUCCCAGUGAUUGAAAGUGUCUGCUGAUUAUUGAUUUCCCACCGAGAAGUUGCUAAAAGUCUCGCAGCUAAUCCUGGCGGGCUGAGCGUGCUGUAGAUAAUGACGUGUAAUGAGCUAAUGACAUGCUGAAAUAUUUAGUAGAGCCUCAAUAGGGCUGCACUAUAGAGGUGGGAGAGGUCAUUAGAGGAGCGUCUGAGGGACGGACCUUCGAUUAGUAACACCCAGGGUCCCGUCUCGGAGCUGCACACACACACACAGGUACAUGCAUUGAUAAAAGCAUACACACCUGCUUAGAUACACAUGUAGGUACACAAACUCAUGGUCAAACACACACGAAAAAAGAAGGUACGGAAAGAGCUCGGCUGUUAGUAGUAGGACUUGGACCAUUGAUCGGUCAGCUUUUAAGAGAGUGACCUUUUACAGAGGGCUCCACUGGCCUUGAUAAAUCUGAUCUGGGGGCCAUCUGUGUCUGGGUGGGAGCAGCCUCUGUAGGAUGGGACCCCAGAGAGGAGAAGAGAAGGAGAGGAGGGAGAGAAAAGUAAUGCAGGAUGAGGAGGAAAGCAAAGACAGGGAAGGAUAAGAGGAGACAGAGUAAGAGAGGAAAGGUCAAAGGGAGAAGAAAAUUGAGGAGAUGAGUGGAGUGUGGUAAAGUGAAGAAAAUAUAGCAGAUGGGAGAAGAGAGAGAGGAAAACGAAAAGGGGAAGAAGAGGAAACAGGAGUCGACUAGUUAUUUGUUACAGUUGCAGGACACUGAUUGUUGGUUAUAUUUGUGCUACAAGUCUCCAACAGUCUGCACCAUGAGCCUGAAGCUGAUUAAGACUCUGUAGAAAACGAUCUAAUCAGCUAUCGAUGCAAAAAGCUUAUUUGAACAACGACUAUUGAUAACAGCUUUAAACAUUUUAAAGGUUUGCUGGUGGAAGCUCAGAGAUAUCUGAUUGUUUUAAUUUACACUCUCCAGUACUCAUUUGAAGCUGCUUUCAGGAGCAGAAAUUAGUGAACAUAAAAGAUGUUGAAGUGUGGUCAUACAGAUGUGUCAUGCUUCCUCCACAUGGACUUUGAUUUUAACUAAUUUGAUGUUUUUCAGACAUGAAAAACAUGACAUGGAUGUAAAAAGCAUCACAAAUAUUCACCUAUCAAUAAGAUGAAAUAUUCAAACCAAUAAAAUAUGUUAAACGCAUCAAUCCUUGAUCUUUGUGCGGUUUGGCUCUCACAAUCACUAAACCAAGUAGACCAUGAAAUUGUAAAACAAGGAAGGGAGCUGAUUUAUGAAGGUGGUAAUUUCAGGGAGAGUGAAUAUGUAAUGCUCUUUUAUUGAGGUGCUUUAAAGAAGGCCACCGCUGCCAGCGACUACCGUCCUCUGUGAUGUUCCUGGAAACCUCAGGAUGUUGAUCAGCAUUUACAGUAGUUAGAAAUCUAUAAUUACAGUGGACUCUUAGAUGUAAAAAUUAACUGAUAACAUGGACAAUAGACUUAACAAAUGAAGCAGGAUUUCAAGGAUCAUUGUUUUCUUCCAGGUGUUUCCAUAAUUUCAUAAAGACAUUUAAAGAGGGACCGUUUAAAAAAAAAAAAAAAAUCAUCCAUUUGAGAUUAGGGCUUGGCAAUAUGGCUCCAAGUCAAUAUCACAAUAUAUUGAUCAGUUCACCUUGAUAACAAUAAAUGGACGAUAACUACUCCACAAGCUGCUAACCCCCUCCCACAUUAACUUCAUCCAUUCUAGCCGCCACUCUCGCCACUACAAAUUUUGAACCGUCCUCUACUAUCCCCUCACCUGUCUUUCCGUCUUUGUUACAGACUGGAUGAGGUGGAGUCACGUCUCUGACGUAGGACAGCAUCUUAAAGGGACAUGAUACCAUAGCCUGCCUACACACAUCCAAAAACACAUCCAAGAACUUUUAGUUAUUUAUUUUUUUGACAAAGAAUAUACCGAUAUGGGCAAAAUGACAUUGGUUAUUGUUGUAAAUUUCUGAAUCAGUAAAUUUUCGGUUUAUCACCCAGCCCUAUUUGAGAUUUAUAUUAGAGGGUUAUGACAAAGUCUUAGUUUGUGUCAACUUUGGCGCCCUCUGUGGACAAAUCUUUGCCUGUCUCACCUCUACAUGCUGAAAUCUUCUGACAGAAAAUCUCAUCAUUCUGACAUUGGACGGUGAAAAACUGUCAAACAGGGCUGUAUCUCUGGCUUCUUGGCUGAUACCUACCCUCUUGCAGGGGGUUCAGACAUUAGAAAUUUCAAUGUGGAGAUCAUCAAUCUAUUUUUUUAAUGUUCAACAUGACUUCCAGUUAACUUCACAAACACUGAAAAAAACAUACACAGGAGCUAAAUAUGAAGAAGGCUUUGUUGCCUCAGCAUACAGCAGACAGACCAGAGGUCAGCAUAUCUGCCUCGGUCCAAAGGUAGAAAAGUUUACCAACCCACAUCUCCAAAUUCAACUUGAUAACAAGCUAUGUGUCCUUCCCUCCUUUCUUUGUUUUGGCGGUGGGGGGUUUGGACUAUUUCUUUGCACGCUGCAGUGACUCCCCAAACAAGUCAGUGCCAUAUGUUGACUUUUUACCCACUCCUAUUCUUGAUGCCUACUACAAAAUAGAUGCUUUUGUAGCUGUGAACAUCUAGACAGUAAAAACCUAGCGCCCAGUUUCAUUCAGUAACACACAGUGACAGACAGUCUUUGAUAAACCUUCAAGAUUAACAUUUUAUCUCACUAUCUGCUUAACUCAAACAUAUGGACAAGUCUUAGGGUACAAUAAUAAGGCAACAUCUACAGAAACUGAUGACAAAAUUAGUUAGUGACAAAUUUAAUUAUUAGUCGUAGGGGUGGGAGAAAAAAUUGAUACAGCAUAGUAUCGCAAUGUUUUGUCUGGCAAUAUAUCGUAGCGUCUCAUUGACCAAAUGUCAGGAGAAAGUUCUUGCAACAAAUAUAUAUAAGGUCUGUAAGAUUUGCCACAUGAAAAUAAAAUACAGUGUAAAUAAGACAAACAGAAAGGAAAGCCAAAUGCUAAAUUAGCUAAACAGUUAAAAAAAAAUGUGUAAAUCACAGUAUAUUGUAGUGCAAUACUCACUGUAUUGCAAAAUGUUAAAAAUCGCAUUAAUAUUGUAUCAUGACCAAAGUAUCAUGAUAAUAUCGUAUCAUGGGCCACUAGUGAUUCCCACUAAUUAGUCGGUUACUCUUACAUUCCUAUAAUCUUUACUAAAAGUGCGUAAACAUGCUUGAAUGCAGACUGCCAGGAAGUUACAGGUACAAAACAGCAGAUAGCAGUGAUGGAUGCAACACCAUCACAUCCUCUAAGGUCCUCCUGCCUUCAAGGCUGCGAAGAAAAGCUGCCUGCUAGAAACUGUAAAAGGGGACCUUGCUCGUCAUGGGUGCCUGUCAGUAAUGUAUGAGCAUUCAAAGCUCGCUGGACGUCUUUUUAAAUAUUAACUCUGACAUUCAACCUAAAAGUUCCAGGUUAACACAGCCAUGUAGUGAGAUCUUUCUCUCAUUUAUAUUUACAGCCUUUCACCUUAAAAUCUUUCCCAACUCAAGAACACUUCAUCUCUUUCUCUUCUUUUAGCCUCAUUUUCUUCCUCCUCUGUGCACAUUUUACAUCAACACUCGUAUUUAAAGCAAAGAUAAAAUAUGACUUGAGUUGAGAUUUUAAUGUUGUUUUGAGUCUAAAGAGUACUGGUAGAUUUAUAAGAACGUUUGCAGUUCACAAUCCAAUUAACAGAAUGAUAGUUUCAGUAGUAAAUGACUUUUUUACUGGCAUGAUAGCUGUAAUUUUCAGCCUUGGUCUGCAUACAGCAUUGCAUCUUUCACGCCUUCACUUUGUCAUUUGUUCAUCAAAGGUCUAUAUACUAUAGAGAAGGUGCAAACACACAUGUAGUCUAUCUAAAACACACACACACACACUCAAAGUACAGCCUCACCUGCUGCAGUAAAACCAUGUUGAUUAAUGAUAAAACCAGCACGUUCCUCACAAACUCUUUACAGUUUCUGCACCAUCAAAACUUACCCUGAACACACACACACACACACACGCUCAAACACAAACACACACUCACACGUGUGCUCACACACACCAUUACUCUUUCUUUCUCUCUAUCUACUAUGUUUAAUUCCCUUUGGAAAAGACAGGUGCAAACGUUGAUUGAGCCUGAGCCAGAUUUAGCCCCAGCUCUCAGUGUGCGUCCAGCUGUACUCUCCAACCCACUGAGAUCGAUGUCCAGCCAGCCAGGCAGCCAGCAGGCAGGCAGCCAGGGAAGCAGCCAGUCAACCAGGCUGCACCCAGCGGGCAGAGGGGGCCAACGGCUUUCCCCCAGCCCCAGAUACAGCCGCGCUUCACUGGGCUCAUUGGGCAGACCACAGCGGGGCAUCGCACAGUGCCAAGCCCUAUCACUGCACCACUGAUGCAGGAUGUGCUUCGGGCAGGACAGGGAGGGAAAGGGAAGGGUGAGGAGGGGCGGGGAGGGGAGGGGAGGGGACCCCAAAAAGCCUGCUAGACCUCCACCCAUUUGCCCCCUCACAGCUCCUGCUAAAAGCACCUUUCCUCAACGCACUCAUCCCCUCCUCCUGCAUCCUUCUCAACGCCUCCACCUCUAUUGAACCCCUGCUCUUUCCCCUCCCUCCUCCCCUCCCUCUCUUCCUCCUCUUCCUCUCCUUGCUCCAUCCAUCUUGAAGCUACUUUGAUUCAGGUCUCUCUCUUUUCCAUCCUCCAUCCUCCCAGCCCCAGCCGUUCUCCAGCCAACCACAGUUUCCUAUUGAUUUAUUGAUUGCUGUCUGCCUGUGGGAGAGCGGCCGCAGUCUCCCUCUCUCCCUCUGCUCUCCCCUGCAUGGAUUUGUCUUCCCUUUUCCCCUUCUUUCUUCUCUCCCUCUCUCUCUCCUCUCUCUCUCUCGCUCUUUCGCUCUCUCAGCCCUCUCCAUCUCCCCGUCGAUGCAGCAGCUCUGAAACAUGAAUUAGAGAAAGCAGGGGAGUCCAAUUUACCGGGAGAAAUCAGAUUCACCUUCUCCCAUACGCUCGUUUCUUCUUUCUUUCCCUUUCGCCUCUCUUUCACUUAAACCUGCGUCUCUCCUCCAUUUUCUCGGGCGCUUUCUGUGUUUUGCCUUUGUCCGAUCAUCAUGUCAGUUACACUUUGCACUGACACUGUUACAGACGAGCAUUAACGUCAACACUACCAUGAGCCACUGUUCGAGGCACUUUGAGUACAUCUGAAGCUGUAAUUACAAGCGUUGCUUUAAAUAGAAGACGAAAUACGAAUUGACUCUCCAAGGCUGCUAAAUAUUGACUGUAUGAAAUCAGAAAAAUGUUCGUAUCAGGAGGAGGUCAGAAUGGGGAAAAAUAGCGUUCAGAAAUUUCCCUUAAAUUAUAGACAGUUGCAUCCUUUAAAGUGGUAUCGACAUGACCACGCAGAGUUAUUGCCUUCAUCCUGUCUCCAAGAAAAGGCUCAUUUGUUUUAUAUUUUCAUUUAUGUUUGACAAUAACAGACAAACAAGUGUUGUCUUUCUGUAUCUUCAUUUAAUGCCCUGCGCUCCUGUCUCACUGCUAUGUUUUGUUGCAUCCCAGUGAAGCUCAAACUUCAAUUAUAUCUCUUGCAACACCACAGCAGCCCAGUAUUAUCCGAGCUCUUCUUUCAGGCAGAGAAGAGGCUUGAUUUUAUACCAAACUGUCCCCUGAACUGCAGGUUAGUGCGGGUCACACAGGAGAGCAUCUGAUUAUCUGACCUCUGGGGUCAACUCGCAGCUCUCUGGGUUUGGAACAAUAGGAUCAGCUGUAAUGGGUGAAAAGAUAGAGUGACAGCCAGAGGGAAGAGUGGGACCCUCAAUCUGUCAAAUUUAUCCUGUAAUUUACCCGCAGAAGAGGACGAUAUUCUGACUUGAUUGAAGGAACUUUAUUGAUGGUAUUCACUCUUUACUUACCAUUUCGGUGUACUCGGGGGUUUUUCUUGACUCAGAAUGAGGCUGAGGUAGCGUCCGCUACACUGUGUGUACACACCAGCAGACUGAAUCAGCUAAACUCUGCAGAAAUACAGUGUGAUUGUCUUCAAUAAUAGAUGAAAAAGGUAAUUAUUGGUAUCAGCAGAUGAAUUUUUCUGCUGAUAUGAUUAUUGGCGAGAAAGUUGACACAUAAAUUACAUGUAUGUGACAACAUAUAAGCUGUGUGGAGAUAUUUUGAAGUGUUGGAAGCAGACAUCAUUGAAUCUCAAUAUUCAGAAAUAAACACUUCAUUUUCAGUCAAAACAAAUCUUUUGAGAUCACUGAGAGAUACACAGAUCAAAUUUUUUCAGAUCAAAUCUGAUACCAAUACCAGGGCUUAGCGUAUCAGCCGAUAUCGGAUACAGAUCCAAUACUACUGUUGAAUGAAUGAACUGUAUACCUUGCCCUGUGAGUGAAGACAUCAGGCUUUAUAUUAACCUUGUUAAAAAAACAAAUUAACACAGAUUUAUAUAUACUUGAUAUUAUUUAUUAACAAAUAACCAAUCGCACUUUAGCACCCAGCAAAAAGAAAAGAAAGACAGUAUCGGAAUGCUGGAUUGGCAUCAUUCAUCAGAUAUCUGAUCCAGUUAAUUUGUCAGUAUCAGAGCCGAUAUCGGUGCAUCCCUAAUAUGAGUAUCAGCCAAAAAAAAAAAAACAGGUUUGAAAAUAUCGUCAUGUCAGAUGUUGAACAUAAUAUUCAUGCAUCUCCACCAAACACUUUUGAUAGUUUACAUAUUUAGGGAUGUUAAAAGGAUAUAUGGUUGGAGAAAUUAUGAUCCCAAAUGAAAGACCACUGUUUUCAGAGAAAAGUUAUUCUAACUGAAUCCUAUAUAAUAUAUUAAUUUACACUGUUCAAAGCACAGUCAUUCAAAAUAAAAUGUAGGAUCAUCUUCCAGAUAUCGUUGAGUGUCAAACACUUUAUUUCUUUUUAUUUGUCGUAAAUCAGUUCUUCUUGUGGAUAUCUUCACAUUUUUUAAUAAUUAAUCUUCACUUUCUACAUAAAAGCCAAAUUUUGCUCUUUAGAAGUUUCAUCACUAACAUGUUGCUUGGACAAUCCUCAUGAAAGGCAGACAGAGAUUUACCUGCUCAGGAUUAGGAAUUAUUAGAUUCAUAAUAUCAUAGAGAGGCUUCACUUUAUUUCUCUUCCAGUUGGAGACUUUUGAGGAUUGUUGAUGCGCAAGAGUCAUAUGCCAUCUUCAUAAUUACCCACUGAGUCAGGAAGACAAUUAUUGAUAUGUCGAGCUCUUUAUAUCACCCUUAGCCUGUUGGCCUUUAGGUGUUAUGAACUCAUCUCUCUCUCUCUCUCUCUCUCUCUCUCUCUCUCUCUCUCUCUCUCUCUCUCUCCUGCCUCAGUGGAUUUGCAAUAACACAUUGCCUUUUUUUAUUUUUUUAUCGUUUUAUUUUUGAUAUCCUCUUCUACAACACUUUUGCAUGUUGGAGCUUUUGUAUCAAAAUGUAAACCCGCUGUAUUAAUUAGACUAGGGCAGGGCGAUAUAGCCUCAAAUCAAUAUCACGAUACAUUGAGCAGUUCACCUCAACAACUAUAAAUGGAUAAUAACUACUCCACAAGCUGCUCACUCCUUCCCACAUUAACUUUGUCUACUUCAGCUGCCGCUCCAGCCGCUACAACUUUUGAACCGUCCUCCAUCUCCUCACCUGUCUUUCCCUUUUUUGUUAGGGACUGGAUGAGGUGGAGUCACGUUUCCGACGUAGGACAGCGUCUUUAAAGGGACAUGAGACCAUAGCUUACUGACACACAUCCAAAACAAACUUUGAUUUAUUUAUUUUUUUGACACCUAAUAUAUUGACAUGGGCAAAAUGACAUUGGUUAUUGUUGUAAAUUUCGGUAUCGGUAAAUUUUCGGUUUAUCGCCCAGCCCUACAUUAGGCCACUCAGUAUAAGUGCUCUUCUUAGAGAAAAAAAACGUGAAACGCAGUAAAGUGUAGCUUAACCUUAAAGAGGUUUUUUGAAGGAUAUACAAUAUUUAACAGUUCUUGACUUUGUGCGUAAACAUGAAACAUUUAAAAGAGACACUAAACAGUUAAAGACAGUACAGAAAAAUUAUGGAUGUUAUUCUUUAAAGAUUUAUCACUGUGGUGGAGAAAUGCUCCUGCCAGAACUGACCAAAAAGAAGAAAAGGAAGUUUUCUGUGGGUCUUGUUUAUGCUACAGACAAGGACAUCCUUCAACUGAAAGUUAAGUUUCUCUACACUACACUUUAACCUUAAAAAACAAUCAACUACUUUACACACAAUUGAGAAAAAAUCGUUGUAGUAUUUUUUUUUUUCCUCCAGGAAUUUUGCCAUCCACAUCCAGUUUUUAUUCCUCCAAAUUUAAGAGCUGCCAUCAGUGAGGCUCAGUCACUAAAGUGUCAUCUCAGUUUGACGAUAGAUAGCGACAUUCAUUAAAUCCAACAUGUGACAAUUGUUACCUAAAAUAAAACAGGAAAAGUCAUUCUUUUUCCACCUGUGCUGCAGCUGCCACAUCACUCUCUGCUGGCUUCCUCCUGCCACAGACACUUUGCUGGAAAUGAUGUUUCUUGUCGAGGAAAAGAAUUCUAUCGAAGGACAAAUUCCCAAACGGGGAUGAGCAGGUUGAGGAGGAGGAGGAGGAGGAGGAGGGGCGGUUAUUGGUGGUUGACAGAAAAGACUACACUGCCUCAGUGCACGGCGCUCCUUGUAUUGAUAAAAUCCAUACUCCUGAGAUGCAUCUGUGUGCGACGGAGAGCGUGAGAUUAGUUUCCUGACUGGAACCUAGUUAAUACCACAGAGGAGAAGACACACCACACCUGAGGCCCUCUGAGACGCAGAGCAGGGCAGCGACAGGCAGGCAGGCAGGCUGCAGGGGCAGGGCAACCCGUGCACACACAGAGAAACCGGGGAUACACGCUAAAUGCCACGUAGAAAUGUACAGCUACAGACGCCGACAUGCACGUCAGUACAUGCACACACAUGCUCAGUCCCUGGUCUGACGCCAACACCCCUGUAAGAGCAGGGUGGAGGGGUAGGGAGUGGGGGGUGUUUAGGUGUCUGCAGGCCAGAGAGUGGCAGCACAAGGACAGACGUCUCCCUGGCUGUCUGGCUGCCGACAGGUCUGAUCGAUCAAUAUCCUGACUCUCUCUCUCCCUUUCUCCGCUCCUGUCUUCUCCCUCUUCUUCCUCCUCCUUCUUUUCCCUCUACCUCCUUUACUCUCUUCUCUCAUCAUCCGUUUCAUCCUUCCUUCUCUUUCCCAUUCCUCUUCAUAUUUCCUUCUCUCUUUUCAUUUGCUCUCUCUCUCUUUCUGUGGCUACUGAUCCUCCUCACCCCGUGGAGUGACCCCUUCCAUCCCAAAUCCUACCCCCCCUUACACACACACACAUACAGCACCACCUCCACCACCUCUCAUUAACCACUCAUCACUCACUUUCUCCACUCUUUCAUCACUCUUUGUCCUUCUUGCACAUAGAGGAGAGGGUGCAAGGGACCAUCUUUAACACACUUGAGGCUUCCUGCCACCUGAGACAGCGAGCACCUUACACAAUGCAACACGAUCACAGAGGUGAAAUUAUUGACUGUACGCACCAACAACAGAGCUCUGAACAUAAACAAACCAAAAUAUUGCAGCUCAACUCUUUUGCACUGAAACUAUAAAGCUUGGACAAAGAAACUGCUCGAUACAGCGCUGCUCUUCUCCGCUGCUCAGCAGGAAUAAAAAGUCCACAUAAUGAUAAAAGUGCCUUUUUCUAUUCGUUAUUUUCUCAAAGCUUUGCAGGCACUUUUCAUUUCUACAUGUCUUUAAUGUUAGUUUCUCAAAUGUGUUUUUCUAUUUUAUUUAAGCCAGAAUUCCCACUGAGAGCAGCAGCAGCAUCUUCCUCAAUAGAGCUUUGAAGGAUGAAAAGAGGAGGGGAGGGUAAGGUAACAUGAAGGGAAUAUGAGAGUUUACAAAGAGUGCCGGAUCAGAUCAGACGGCUUUUAAUACGGACACACAUUCAAAUUAAAGGAAAUAGUUGAUUCUGUGUUAAGAAGCUGAUUAAAGUUGAAAUAAAGGCAGAUUAUUUGCUUUUUGUCAGGCUAUAAACCUCUCUGCGUCUGGUUUUUGAAGCAAUAAAGGGGUAAGACUUUAUGUAAAUGUAAAUGUUCUUUAUUCAUACAGCCGUUUACAACAACCCUUUCGGUGAACCACGGUGCUUGACAAUACAUAUACAGUAGAGGCCAAAAGUUUGGACACACCUUCUCAUUCAAUGUCUUUUCUUUAUUUUCUUAUAUAUGACUAUUUACAUUGUAGAUUCUCAGUGAAGGCAUCAAAACUAUGAAUGAACACGUGGAAUUUUGUACUUAUAUAAAAAGUGUGAAAUAACUGAAAACAUGUUUUAUAUUGUAGUUUCUUUAAAGUAGCCACCCUUUGCUCUUGAUGACAGAAGUACUUAAAGUAACCCUGACAAGGCACAGCUGUGAAGUAAAAACCAUUUCCGGUGACUACCUUUAAGAGAACAGCAAAAGUUUGCAGCGCUAUCAAAAAAAGCAAAGGGUGGCUACUUUGAGAAAUUUUAAAUAUAAAACAUGUUUUCAGUUAUUUUCACUUUUUUCUUGAGCACAUGAUUCCUCGUGUGUUCAUUCAUAGUUCUGAUGCCCUCAGUGAGAAUUUAAAAUUUAAAUAGUAAUGAGAAUAAAGAAAAUGCAUUGAAUGAGAAGCUGUGUCCGAACUCUUGACCUGUACUGUAGUAAAAAUAUGAAUAAAUAAACAAAAAUAAUAAAAGCAAUAAAAAAAAGAAUAAGAUACAAUGCAAUAAAAUAAAGUGUCACCAUGCUACUGGGUAUCAAAAGCCAGCAUACGUAAGUACGUUUUCAGUCGAGAUUUGAAAACGCCCAGAUGAGAAAUAAGUCUCAUUUCGUUGGGGAGUUUAUUCCAGAGCCUGGGACCAGCAGUUUCCAUCAUUAAUACUUUGAGUAAGAAACAGUCAUCAUCUAAUGUGAAUGUUUUCUUUCUCCUUUGCACAUUUUACACAUUUUUAGCAUUUUUAUUUUCCACAUGUAAUGAAAGUCACUAUUCAGGGGUAUUGAACCCAAAAAGGAGUAGAGAAAUGUGUGAUUGUGUAGCUGAUGUUUUUCAGGUUAUUAUGUGUAGUUUAGUUUCUGAGAUGUGUUGUAUUUUUUUGGGCAUGACCUCACCCACCGAGGAGUGCUCACGCGUCUCUAAUCUCUUUUAGAUGGGAUGCCUCACUUUCCCUUUUUUUGUUGCCCCUGGGUAAUAAAUCUAAUGGUCUAAACUUCUCCUACAUCUCAACGCUGUUCCUCCCUCCCCCCACCAAACAAAAAAAAAAAAACUCUGUGCUUUAUGUUCUCUCGAACUUCGUUACGCCGGGCCAAAAAGGAAUGAUUUCACAGGAAAAUGUAUAUAUCGGCUUUGAUUUUUGUCUACUUUCUCGCAAUAUGGGCCCGCUUUAGUGGAAUAAAAAUUGAUUUUUUUAAGCUUUUUUGUGCAUUAGCUUUUAAAUUUGAAAUUGUAUUUGCAGAACCUGUUUGUGAUCAAUGAAAGAAAUCAAGAUUUAUAGCUGUGAUGUAAUAUAGGAGGAACGGGAACAUCUGACUGCCUGAAAAGGGAAUUACAUCUUGUAUUUAGGUGGUGUUGAGUGUCUGUACAGUAUCUCUCUCUCUCUCUCUCUCUCUCUCUCUCUCUCUCUCUCUCUCUCUCUCGUCUUCUCUAUCUUUCUAUCACUGCUUUUUCCAUCUUUUUUCCCUUAUAUUUGCUUGCCUCAGAUUCUUCCAACUUUGCUCAAGCCUUUAAGGUCUAAAAAACCAGAUAAAAGCAGUGAGUCCAUUUCCUUCAUCUUUUCUAAUUACUCCUCCUCAUCAUCCUCAUCUUCAUCACCUGCCUCCUUACUUCCGUGAAAGCCUCUUUUAAUGACCAGGUUUGAUGUCCUGGCUGCUUGUCUCCAACUUCAUGGAGAGCUUCAUCGAAGAUCACCAAGUGGCUUUUCAAAAAUACACAAGUACUGUUAAAGGCAACAUACACAGACUUUAGCACACACUCAAACAAACACACCCACACACACACGCACUGCCCAUGUUUCAGACAGUCCAUUGUGAGUAUCUGCAGCCUUGAAGAAUCUUGAGGAGUGUCUUAAAAGCUUGAAGGGGGUUCAAAGAGGGACACACAAACAAACCCACACUAAUGGCCUCACAUUAGCCAUCAGUGGCAGAAGAGGCAGACACACAUACACGCACACACUUCACAGGACCCUUUUCUUCUGGCCGGUCUUCAAGAAGGGUGUUUUGGAGGCCCCUACAGAGUCCUAAAAAUUGAAUCAUCUUUUUUUAGUUUCAUUUGAAAGUAAGGUCAAAAAUCUCAAAUUGCGUCCCUGGCCCCGCGAGACCUCACAGUAACCCAAACAGCGUUCAGCGUGUUUGUGCGUUUUCUGACAGCAGCUCUGAGUGAGUCUGUGGCCGGUGAAAGGUGGAUAGUGGCUUAAAAACUCAUACAGUAAUAACGUAAAAACACAUGAAUCUACAUUUAUUUUACACCAGGUGAGGUCAGAAACUUGAGGAACAUCGUUUUAAAUGGUCUGUAUUUUUACUCCCAGAUUCUGCCACAGCGCUCUGACCCACCUUGACUGUCACUGUCAAGAUUUACUUUGAGACUCUCUGGCCUUUGUAACAAGGAUAGGAUCGUGUUCCCUCAAAACAGAAGAGAGAGGGUGGGGAUCAACAUAGUCGAACCUGUGCCACCCACAUCUAUAGGGCUGCUUGGAGUUUCCAUGCCUGUGCCCUUAAACCAUAAACUUUAGUGUAAAAGUCCUUACACACCGGGACUGAUGCAAAUAUAUGACAAGAAAUUACGAAAUAUUCAGAGGCGAAUUUGGCGCACCUGACUAGACACAUCAAGCCUGAUGUGAUUUUCUCGACUUUCCGGGGGGAAAAAAGACGUGUCCCGGGUGGAAGUGAGAAGACGGACACAACAGCAGACUGACUAUUUUUCAGUUCUGAUUAGACACUAGUGUUGAGAUGUCUGUCUGUCAUGAUAGCAUGUACUGAGUCGGGGCCAGUACCAGAUAAGCACAUUAAACUUUAAUCCAUAAACGUAAGGUAACAACCGAGACCUAAUGAUGCUGAGACAGCAACGUGAUUGAGUUUGAGACAGUGAAAAUACAUGUGGUAUGUUGUAUCUGAACAGGUUAGCUUACGAGCUAAAGUUACUUAGCACAGAUGAAAGUUAAAACAAGACAUUUAGCAAACUGUUAAAGCACACAAACCAUUGUCAUAUGAGAAAUCAGAGGCUAUGACUCUCCACAAAUUGUCCUUCAGGUCGUUAUCUUUGUAAUGUUUGUGUUUUUUUAUCAAAAAGCACUCAGUUCUCCGACACGGAAACAAUCAGCCAGUCGGCCAUGUUGGAUUUACCGGUGAAUCAGAUGUUGCAACAACAAGCGAAAUAAUUGCACGAUAAAACGGUCCCGGUGUGAAAGGACCUUAAUAUUGGUGUGAUGCAAGCCAAGCAGCACAAAAAACUUGUUUGCUUUUAAAACCUUCUCCAUGCUGCAUAUCGAAUUGAUCUGAAAAAUACUUUUAGCUGCUUUGUUUUUAUCUCACACAUCAUAGUUACUUUCAUGCCACACAGCUUUGCAUUUACAACUGUUUAUUACCUUUUUUAUACAUGUAACCUAAUAUCAAGAGUUAAAAGCCUUUUUAACAGUACACUGUACAAGAUACUCUAGAAUCAAACCUUUGCCUGUUACUGAUAUGGACUUAUAAAGACUGCAAGUGUUUGGCAGUCUUAUGAUCUCUCUCUCUCUGAAAUAUCAGACUCCUCGGUUAAUGACAGAUACCUGCAGAGUGAUGACAUUAUGUAAGGGUGAAGCUCCACAAAAAAAUUUCAGCUUCAAAACACCUCGAACACAAGUAAGACUGUUUAAAGAUGACCCUUUACUUUGAGUUUCUGGAGAUCCAAAAUCCUUUGUAUCACCAAGUUUCCAGUCCUGCAUCCUGACUGAAUCUAGGACAUUUUUGUGAUAAAACUAUAGGUAAAAUCCGUCGUUAAGUCUGUGGCCCUCCAGUAUUUCCACAUCACUAAUGUUGUUUUUUUUUUUAACUCCACUGUGCACCAGGCCACAGUCACUGCAGGCCUUUGCUGUAAAUAAUGUCAGCGUGAUCAGAAUCUGCUGGUCGUAUGAAAGUUCUCCUUUUUAACCUCUCAGGAUUAUUUCCUUUUCAAGCUGCUAUUAUCAAAUCAAUCCAACAUGUACCGUGGUCAACUUCCUUUGGUCCACAAAAAUCAGAUAAACAGAUUUAAUUCGCAUGGCCAACUUUUCCCCUGUUAUUGUGUCUCCCACUGUCUGUGUAUGCAUGUGUCGGUGUGUGUACUUGCAUGGCGGCAGCCUGCUAGGCUGAGACUGCUGCUGGUGAUGGGGGACAUUGAUUUUUUUUCUCCCCCCUCUGUUUUCUCUGGGAUUUUGACAGAAUCAUAGCACCAUGGAAACAAAGAAACUGCUUUGUGACAGAGGAAAACCUUUCAUUUCAGCCGCAGUGAAUGGCGGCUUGCUGCUGAUAACAGCAUGGGUAAUCACACACUCACACAUACGCCUACAGAAAUAGACACACACACACACAACACACCAUGUAAGGCACCACAAAGCACCGACGUAUAAGGUUAAAGUAUGAUUGUUGCACGUGAUUGCGAAAAAUAAACAACUCAAAGGUCCCUUUUCAGUAAGCUGCAGCUCAGACACAUAAUCACAGCUAUUAUCAACCUCUGCAGGAAUACAUGUCACUCUGAGAGUUAUUUCACUCUCUGUCACUAAUAAUACAGAUGUAUAACCAGUGUUUUUGGAUACACAGAUCCUAUGUGGUCUGCAGCUGUUUUUUUUCAUGAGGCAUCAUUAAGCACACCUCAUAUCCCGUGAUUUACUUGACUGCACCAUGACAUGGAGCCGGUUCUGCUGUGGUAUUUAUUUGGUCAUGAGUGCAAAUGAAUCACACAAGCUUUGUCACACUUAGCUUAGUUUGUUUAGUUUAUUUGCACAUCUUGAAAACCAAAGAAGGAGUAAGAAAUGUAUAACUGUUGUACAGGGGGGAAUGGAAGGUUUAUGAAGAGCCUCCUUGAUAGACAAAAGAGGAAAGAUCAGCUUUUUUUCCCUCAAUCUAAAUUAUAUGCCACCGUUGCUAAAGUUAUACCGAACCAAGAGAGUUUAAGUGACAACUCAAAUACCCAACACACCUCACUACCAAACUAUAAAUGACAUUUAAUAAAUUAUUUAAUUCUUUAAAAGAAAAAAAAAACUUGUGAACUAAAUAGUGCUGGACGAUAAUUCGAUAACAAUAUAUAUCGAUCGAUAGACGUGUGGUGCGAUAGAAAAAAAACGGGUCGAUAAAAAGUUCGAUAGAAAAACACAGUUUCCCUUUCUUUUUCAUCAUAGCCUAUCAUGUAGCUUUUACUACAGUCAUUACUUCCUCCCAACCAAUCACAAACGCAGACCCAGGUACGCUACGGCACCAAGCCCAGCCCCUCUCAAACCACAACAGACAGCACGUGUAUUAGAAAUAAUGUUACAGCAAGGAGAAGCGGAGGAAAUUGUCCCGAAAAACGGUUUCAGUAGUUCUCCAGCAUGGCAAUGUUUUGGCUUUUACAAGUCUGACAAAAAGCGAGCAGCGGUCGUUUGCAAAAUUUGCAGAGAAUUAGUAAAAACCAAGUCUGGUAACACAACCAACUUGUUUUACCAUCUAAACCGAUCGCACCCGCAGGAGUACGAGCUGUGUCGGCCGCGCCGCGGCUCCACGUCGUCGGAGGAGGAAUCCCCUGGAACCGCUGCCAGCACCAGCACAAAGCAAGUGAAGCAGACCAAACUGGACUUCGUUUCUUGCCAAAAUACGACAAAGCGUCCGAGCGGCAUAAGGACAUCACCCAUGCAGUAACAUGCUCCAUAGCGAGGGACAUACUGCCAAUAACUACCGUUGAAAAGCCUGGCUUCGACCAGCUUCUAGCCACUCUUGACCCGCGAUAUGAAGUGCCCGGCCGCAAGUAUUUCUCAAACACAGCGCUUCAGGCAUGAAAAUGGGUCAGGGGUUGAAAAGCUGAGAAGGGUGCAGAGGAAAUACGUUCCGGUGUUGUGCUGUAGAAUGCACCCCUGCAUCCCGUCCACUCAUUAGCUUCUUAAAGUGGAAGAAAAUGAGCUCAUAUUUUACAAAGACGCGAGUAUUUGGAUCAUGACUACUAGCAGGGGGUGCGUUCGGCAGGGGUGCAUUCUACGACACAACACCGGCGUGGAUAAGUCCUGCUUCUCGUGCUUAGUUUGCGUAUCAAGUCAAUCAGAUGAUAAUUAAAAAAAAUAAAUCUCCCGACCCCGGGAGAAAUAUUUCAGUGUUCAGACACCAGGUUGUGGGCAGUUUCCCACACAGUUAAAACUGGUAGUAUGCUAUUCCCACCUAAAGCUAUUCUGUUUAUUUAUAUAUUUGUUUGUUUUGUUUAUUUUCAUCAAAAGACUAUUUAAAUAUUUAUUUAUCAGAUUUUCUGGUCACUUUAGUCUUAAUGUUUGUCAGUAUUUACUGACGUCACUCAGGCCACUUAAGUUGAUUUCUUUUUUUUUUAAGUUCUUUUUUAAAAAACUUUCAGUUGUGGUAAAAAAAUAAAUAAAAAGGUGGUUGAAUAAAGGUUUGAAUUUGAUUUCAGUGCUUGUGUGUUCUUUAUUAAAAGUAGGUCAUUAAGCAAUAGCAUAAAACAUCCAGGGCUGCAAUUAAAAUAUAUGUUAAAUAAUUAUAAUAAUUAUAUCGAUAAUUAUCGAUAUCGAUCAAUAUGAUUUAUUUUUUAUCGAUAUGCUUUUUUUCUAUAUCAUCCAGGCCUAGAACUAAACAUUUUUAUAUAAGUACAGAUCUGAACUUUCUUAACUCAACAUCAGACACAACUCAUUACAGGUUUCUGCUGUAAACAAUGUCCUGGAAUACAAAUGUACUGUAAAAGUUUUUUCAUAUCAGUAGGGGUGGGAGAAAAAAAUAAAUGCAGCAUAGUAUUGCGAUAUUUUGUCUGAUGAAAUAUAUCGUCUCAUUUACCAAGUAUCAAUUUUUCAUAAUGUGCUACAUGAAAAUAAAACACAGUGUAAAUAAGACAAACAUAAAGGAAAGACAAAGGUUAAAUUAGCUUAACCGUUAAAAAAAAUGUAUAAAGUGCAAUAUAUUGUAGUGCAAUACUCACUGUACUGCAAGUAUCCCAAGUAUCGUGAUAAUAUCGUGGGGCCACUGGUGAUUUCCACCCCUAGUAGUAAUGUCCACAAUGUGUUUUUCGAUUUAAGAGUCUGCUUUAGUUCUGAUUUCUGAUAUCAAUCUUUUGCUUUCCGUUCACUGAAGUUAUCCCUGUAAGAUUACAAUCAGAUGUCCACCUUAAAUGAAACUGUACUUUUAAGGACGGUUUGGUUGCUGUUCCCUCAGACGAUAUGGCUGUUUCGUUUCAAUAAAGUGUUGUAGAAAACAGCACAUGGGUAACAGAAAGCAUGCAGUGAAAAUCAAGACUCAGAUUGCUCUUCAUUAAACGAUCUGACCCCAAAACAUUAGAUUUCAGCGAUUCUAUUGCAUUUAGCAUCUUUUCUAUCAUUAUUGAGAUGACGAGGGAUCAAAUCGAUUCUGUGUCAAAUUAACUUGAGGAACACCAGACUGCCCGGCUUUCUUCGGCUGUUUGAGUCUGUGUGUUUCCAGAUGUGUUUACGUUCACACAAAUGAAAUUAAUGUCUAUGUGCAGGCAUGUGUGUCUUCAUAAACAGCUGUGAUCGUGCCCUUUGUGUGCACGUGUGUUUGUGUGUGUGUGUGUGCUGCAGCAUGCUGAGUUUGUCUGUAUUGAGCUGUUGGUGUAAUUUGAAGAGCUCUACUGAGAGGCUCCUAACCUGGACCAGAGCAGACAGACGGCGGUCAGUGGUCACCGAGAACAGACGGUUAAAGGGACAAUCUGCUCUAAAACAUAAGUCAGCCUGCAGAGGUUAUGGAUGCUGCAGGCUCAUCGGUCAGAAGGUGCCUCCACUCUCAGGCUGCCCCUUGAGAAAAGCCUUUGAGCUCCCCAUUACUCCAGCGCAAUGAUGAUCACACUCGCUGCUGGGAGCUGCUGUAGGGAGUGAAAUCAAACAGCUGCAUGGCGUGACUGAAGCGCUUUGCAAACUUUCUUUAAAAGAGUUGAAGCCAUCAGACAAAGGGAUGUGUGGCUAAACCAGCUGCUAUCUCAACAGCUCUUUGUAUUUUUCCAAAGAUAAUUUCACUUUCUAUGAAUCUGUGAAUCCAUGACUGUGUUUCUGCAGUUAGCAGCUCAAAAAUAAUCCGACAGCUCAGUUGAUUUGCACCUUUCUCAUGUUUAGCGGCUGAGUGUUAGUAGCUGAAAGCCCUUUGCUGCUUGUCAGCCCCACCCUCCUCUGUUCUUUCUUUUACUGUAAAUGCUUUAAUAUCACAAUUAUAAUUAACUUUUUUUUCCCGAGCUCACGUUGCGAUACAGAAACAAUUCUCUAUUUGAACUGAUUUACAGUUCUCGUGUUAUUACGUAGAGGAUUUAUUUCAGUCUGCUGUGAUUUAUUAUCACUGUAAUACUUCAAAGGAAAAUGUUUUGGAGUUUGUACAGCUUAUAAUGUAAAUACACUUUUUAAAUGAUUUUUUUAACAAUUACAUUAUUAUAAUUUCUCUUGUUUUAAGGGCUUAGUGUCUGUCAGCAGAAGUUUAUUUAUAAUUUUGCAUAAAAUGGCGCUGUAUGUUCUGGAGUUUUAUUGAUCUACAGUGCACUCACCAUAUCUUACUGACGAACAGUGAAGGUGCAGGUCUUUUAAAAAUGAAACUGGCGAGGUGGUACUUUGGGUUGCCUUAUCACUCAGUACAUUUACAUUACGCUCAAGAAAACCAAUUUAUUGCCUAACUCUGAUUAAGACCAGACAACUGAAGUGCAUGUAAACACCUUAGUCUGACUACAAUCAAAGUUUGAGAACUCUGAUUGGAGUCGGAGAACUCCAAAAAAGACACCCAGAUAAUGUGAUUGGAAUUCGAUUUUCUCUACCAUGUAACCAGUGUAGUCGGAGUAUGAUUGGACAAUGCAUGUGUGUGUGCACCACAGCCCCGUUACCCCAGAACAAAAACACCAGUUAAGAAGUGGCAUACACUUCAUCUCUAGAAAAAGGAAACGCAUGCAUCAUGUACGAUGCUCCAUUUUCUUGCUUGAAACUGCCCAGCAGCAGUUGUAGCCACUUCCGACAUCUGGCAUGUCUGGAUGUUUUCGGUCAUUCUGUUUAUUUCUCCUGUUUACUUCUCCGGUAACUUACAGGAGUGAGCAGGAAAAGCUCGACUCUGAUUGGCUGUUGUGACGCACGUUUCCGCCAUGUUUGAUCGAGUAAAUAUGCUCACAGCUGAUCACCGUGAUCGAACUGAAAUUUAUCACGAUCAUCGAUCACGAUCAUAUAAUCGCCCAGUCCUACUACAGAGGCUGGUGUACAGCAAACCAUGCCAGCAGCAGGUUUGUCACGUGUAAACUGGCUGCUGGUGAAACUAAAAGAAAGAUUUUUUUAGCUGACUUUUGGACUUCUCAAAUUGUUCAACAUUUAUCCCAAUUUUUGAUUGGGACAGAAUAACUUUUUGCCCCAAGUGAAGGAGUUGGAGUACCUCGGGGUCUUGCACACAAGUGAGGGUAAAAUGGAUCAUAGGAUUGACAGACGGAUUGGUGCAGUGUCAGCAGUACUGCAGGCGCUGGACCAGGCUGUCGUGAUGGAGAGGGAGCUGAGCCAGAAGACAAAGCUUUCGAUUUACCAGUCGAUCUUUGUUCCAACCCUCACCUAUGACCAUGAGCUGUGGGUCAUGACCGAAGGAAUAAGAUCGCAGAUACAAGCGGCUGAAAUGAAUUUCCUCUGAAGGGUGGCUGAGCUCAGCCUUAGAGAUAAGGUUAGAAGCUCGGACAUCCAGAGGGAGCUCAGAGCUCAGCCGCUGUUUCUUCAAAAAGGAGUCAGCUGAAGGGGUUUGGCACUUGAUAAGGAUGCCUCCCAACAGAGCUGUUCCAGGCACGGCCAAAGGGAAGGAGACCUUGAGUUAGGCCCAGAGCUCACUGGAGGGAUUACAUAUCCCAGCUGACCUGAGAGCACCUUGGGAUCCCACUUGGAGAGCUGGAAAAGAUUGCUGGGAAAAAAAGGAGAUUUGGGUUGAGGUGCUGAGACUGCUGCUCCCACAACCCAGAUAAGCAGAAGAAAAUGGAUUGAUGAUGGGAAUUAUUCUAAUGUAGCAAACUGAAGACUCUAAUCUUCAAACUGUGCUUGGUCAUCUUGUUAAAAUAUGCUAGAGGUAGUUGAAUGGAGGUUUGUGUUAUCCAGUAUGGCCCAAGGCUGCCCACAGGUUGACUUUGGUUCUCUUUGCAUAAACAGUUUGAGGUCAUUAUCAUUCUCAGUAGAACUGCUGCUUCCUCAUAACAGGAGAAUUUAUCAAACAGAACAAAAGGGAGAAGAAAAAUUGAGAUUUUCUCUUCUUUAAUUUUGUGUUUCUGAGAUAAAAGCCUUGAGUUUCCUUUGAGUGUAAAUAUCACUCAGACACAAUGAUGGGGUAAAUGGGUCCUCCCAACAAUCUUGCAUCAAACCUAGUAACACAAGAGUAUUUUUGGAUGCAUCACUGCACUAUAAAGCAUCAUAUGCAUUUUUACAUUAACUGACAAACAAACAUGGGAAAGGCACAUUAAUUCAAACACAUAAAAAUGUAGCACAUUUGAAAUCCAAUACAACAUCUCCAUUCUUCAUGCACAUGAAUUAAUAUACCUCAGAGCGAUGGUGACUUGAGGAUUCAUCCUGAGCAGGUCUGGCCAGCGUUUGGUGUUUUGAUGUGCAUUCGCUGCAUCUCUCUGCCCUGGCCUUUAGAGGAUGACUCGUCUCAUCUGAAGCCACUCACAGCUAAAUGUCCCAUCUGGUAACAUUUCCACGUUUCUCCGCCUUAAAUCAAUAGCAAUAAUUUUCCUAAGACCCUGAUGCGCACACUCACACACACACAUAUACACAAGGACACACACACACACACACACAGGUCUGCUUCCCUUUGUCUCAGCAGUCAUUUAAUUUGAUCGUCAUUUGUGUGGAUCGCUGUCAUUUAAGAGAUCGGCUUUGAAUGUGCACUUUGAACCAAAACAGUAUGCCUUUUUUCGAUGUGCACGACAAAUCCUUUUCAUAGUUUUGUCACACAAUUCAAUUCCUUGAUUGUUACUCGUCCAAUCGUUUUGAUUUGUGCUUUAUCUUUUCAGCGCUUUGACUAUUCAUAGAAAAUCCAUACACCAGCGCUCUGCUGCAGACGCAUACACAAGCACCGGUCUCCAUUUUAGCUCACUCCUGCUGCAGGUUGUGUGAUGGCCGACGCUCCGCUUAGAGGUGCAACAUAUCGAUGCAGCUUUCUCAAACAUGCAUUUGAAGACACGAGACUGCAUAAACACACUGUCACACACACACAUUAACACACUCUUUACUCUGGCGGACAUGCAAACCCACUCCGCUGUGCGCUGCGAUUGAUUUAGGACUGGUGGAGCCGAGCGAACGGUGAGUGAUGCUUCGUUAUUAAUGUAUCCAAAUAAGAUAAUUACUCAGGCCUUCUGCUCCUCUGCCAGUCAGCCAGUUAGUUAAACACGCGUCGGGGAUUAUGAUGUCAGCCAGAUUAAAUGAUCAAUUACACGUGCUGAGCAGAGAGCACGCUCCCUCUCUCCGACGUACACACAAAUACACACGUACAUAUGCAAGCAAGGCAUGACUGUGUGGAUUUUGUGUCUAUGUGUGUGUGUGUGUACUGAAUGUGUUUGUGUGUUGGUCAGUGGCCGGUUGGUCGGGGGGCCCUGGCUUUUGACCUCGAACUCGGGGGUCAGGCAGCAGACGGCCGGCCAGCUGGACAUUUCCAUCUCAAAGACCCCUGAGGACCCCUCAGCUCUCUCUCCUGUGCAUGCACACACACACAAACACACACACACACACAGAACCUCUAAGAUCCCCUCCCUCCUUUUACUUGUAUCUCAUUUUCUCCUGCUGUGGACGGUUGGAUGGUUUAUGAGUGCGGAGGAGCUGCAGCCAUUCAUUUCUCCCUAACUGGGGGUCUAAUGGAGAGGUCUACGCAGGAAACCUGAGCUCUCACUGAGUAAUGAGCCGCCCUUUACUGUCCACUGUGUGUGUGUGUGUGUUAUUGGUGUGUGUGUGCUCUGGCCGGCCAGGCUCUGACCCUGUAAAUGAUGUCUCUCCUCCCCUCAUCCUCAGCGGCUCUUUACUGCUAAUAACCUCUGAUCAGAUCUUAGAUGGCCAAGCCCUCCGCUGGGCCUGGACUACCUCCAACCCAAUGGCCCACUAAUGCGCUCCAAUCAACCGUGGGCUUCUCUAUUGGAGGUUGAUACGUAGGGAUCCUUGGCAAGUUUGGCUGAUGCCCCCUCAGACCCAGUCGCCCCACAGAAGCCUCACUCACUAUUUACUCACCUUUACCUCCCCUGAAGAAGUGGUAAGACUGGGCAGUAGCAUUGGUGUGUACGGGGGGAGGGAACGGUAGUGAGCCGCUUCUCUACAGUCUAAUGCAGUUAGCAAGGGGCCAAUCAGUCAUCCCGACCAAUACUAACCAUGUCGCUGGGCCACUCCUCCCAUCUUCCCCACACAGGAGCCACACAGAGCAGCACUGUACAUUUACCUGCAAUUAGAUUUAGCCCAGUAUCCUGCUGGGAGAGAUGGAGGCCCCUCAGAUCUCAGCAUGGCAACAACUGUCACUGUGCGUAUUCACAAUGAGAGGGUGGUUAUAGGAGAUUGGAAUCCAGGGUGAGCGAUCCCAAACCAGUGGAGGGGUUUUGUCUCACCAUGAGGGGGUCACUGUGCUUUGAUUAAUUUUAUCGAUUUAAAAUAUUUGUUGAUAGUGUUGGGUGGUAUGAUAGUACAUACCGUGUGACGGUAUAAAAGUGUCUACCGGGAAGCCCAUCCGUUUGGGUGCGUUUCCGUAUAUUUACCAGCGUUUCGUGCAGAGUUUGUUCGCUUUGUUUGAUUAGUCAGGUUUGGGUGCGCUCCCGAUAAUCACUGGCGUGUCCAGCAGACUGCUUGGCAUAGUUUGGAUAAAGAAGAAACAGCUUCACUGGUGGUAGUCAUGGCGGACGCGGAGAUUAGUGGCAGUAUCGAGCAAAUGGAGGCAGCCCAACCCACCCAACUUGAGGAAGUGGAGGAGGAACUCGUUCUGAAAAAAGGCACGAGUCGAGACAUUGGUCGUCUGGAGAUUCUUCGGAUUUAGAAAAUAUGACAAUGAUCAAAAAACAAUACUAUGCAAAGAGUGUAUGCAAUGGCAUUCGUAGCUGGAGGAGGAAACACCUGCAACCUCUUCCACCACCUAAAGAUGAAACAUGCCAAACUCUAUUAGGAGAGCCAAAAGAUGUGUGGCGCACCCGCUGCACCAAAAACUGAAGCUGCAGCAGCUCCUCUCAUUCGAAAGAGCUUGGCAGAGUCUUUGCCAAAGGUACGCUGUAUGAUAAAAAUUGCCAAACUGGUCUGUCAUUUUGUUGGAAUUUGUUUACAAAUCCGAGUUUUAAAAUAAAAGCAAAAUUAUCAAAAUGUGACAUUAUGGUUAUUUUUAAGCCGUUAAUUGAGUUUACAGGGGGAAAAAACAUACACCAGGAAAUUACUCAUACCGUGAUAUAAGAUUUUGUUCAUACCGCCCAACAUUAUUUGUUGAUUUAAAAAUGAGUCAUUUUGACAGCCAAAUAAUGAUCCCUCCAUGCCACUUCAUUCUUAACUGCUUCCUUGCCAGCCAUACUAACAGUAAACUUCACAUUUUCAGUCAAACAUGAGCAUUUUGAACUGAUAUUCCGAAUGACCCCUGCACCUGAUGAUGGUUUUCUGCCUUGUAACUUUUAUAUUCAUAUUCUGUUCUAUUUUGUGUUGUCUUUGCACCUGUCUUCAAUUGCAAGACUCCUCUUUCAUUCAGCUCCUCAUGUUCUUUUUUUUUAACCCUGUUUCUGAGCAGAGAUAUUUGUGUGACCACCAUCUAUGACUCUGAAGUUUUCGCUUCAAUUAGUAAAUAUUUUUUUGAAAUCCUUUCUAUGCAAAGAUGCUGUUGGGAAUUUGCGUUUUUGUGACAGUGUCGAAAGGCAGAGGUGAAAUGUGCCAGUGAUUGAUUGAGAUAACUUGUGGGAUCAAAUUUUCCCUGCCAAGAAAUACAACACUGAUGCUAUCGUAUUUUGAUCAGUCAGAAACAAGUGUUUAUGGUUUUCAACAUAUUUAUUACACGGCUGUGUCGACUCUGACGGGUCAUCAAUGGCUGCUGCUCUUUUGCAGACCUGCUCAGAAGCACACACUGCAAAUACGCAUGCAGCUCUAAUCACUGGGUGGACUAACUAACUAACUAAAAGAUUUUCUUUAAAAAGUAUAUGGCAGAGAGUAAAGUAAAUGGGAAACAAUAGCAUUUAACAAGGGUAAUUGAGAAAGAAAAUGUCAAUGCACUAAACAGUGAUAAGGCAGGAAAACUAAAUGGGGUACUGUGGUGAAACUUGGGUCAUUAAUUUUGUUCUGAGUUUACCUUUGCUAAAACAACAGCUACAAAUACAUAAUUUAAAGGAAUAUUUCAUCAGCAAAAAACUUAAUAUCAAAUCAGGUUAAAAUCAGAUCAAAUUAUUCCUUUAGGAAGUUGCUGUGUUAUAACUGAGACGAUCUUUCAGAAUGAAAUCCAAUAAAACUUUGAUUAGAAUAAAACUGCUAAUCUGCUUUGCUAAAAGGAUAAUUAAUUCCUUUUCUUUUCAAACUAAAUAGUCGAUUGUACCCACUGAGCAUUUAUUGGUCUAAAAGAGGUCUAAUAGACGUCUUAAUGUAGACGACUGGUCUGAAAUGAGGCUACCACAGGUCUAAAAAUUAAAGUUUUUUAGACGUCUAAAUUUAGACCAAGUCUAAAUUUGGGCUAUAUCUAUACUACACUGUAUAUUACUCAAUGGCUAUAAUAAUUAUUUUGGUUACAUACCUGGAGAUCAGUUAUGCAACUCACAGUUGCUAUUUAAAAUAAAUAGUUAUCAAAUAAUGGGUUAAAGUGCAACGUCUAAAUUCCAUCUAAAAAUAUACAGAAUCUAGACAGUUGAAAUUAGAUCUAAAAAAGUAGAUGUCUAAUAGCCGUCUGCUGCUUAGUGGGUAGUCUGGAAGACAUUUUUCUCAUGACUCAGAAUCACACAAGAACACUUUGAAGAAUUAAACCGUAGGGAUUUAAGGCCAUUUUAUCUUUAAGCACCAGAUCAGAAUAGAUUUCAUCAGAAACCCUGUAAUUGUAAUAGGAAAUAUUUAGAUCAUAACAUUCAAAUGUGGUAACGUAAACCCAUCUACUUGUCUGCGUUCUAUGUUUCUUUUAGACACUCACUGUGUAUUAUCCUGUUUGUAAAUCCAUGAAGUUCUUCCACUGACUAAAUUUGCUCGUUUUCUGUCCCGGCUGCCAGCAGAGCAGUAUUAAUGAUACCACUUAAACACUCACAGAGGUCGUACGGUUUUGUGUUCUGUCCUGUGUGCCUUUUGUGUGUGUUUGUGGGUGUGUGUGUGUGUUAGUAACAUAUUAAAGACUGGUGCAGCUUGGUGACAGCCCAGUAGUGUUUACCUGGCCCUUUGCUGAGGUGCUGGAUGGAUAAUGAUUUAACCAUUGAAGAUUAGUGAUCAGAUGAAUACAAUGGAGCGGCUGAUAGCUGCCUCUGUCUGUUUGCUCUGUCCCUACUGGGAACAAGGCAGAUCACACACAUACACUCUUUUACUCACACACUCACACACACAUUACAUUAGUCUAAUCCCAUGUCUCCAAGCCCAGUGCUAAACUCAAUGUAAGCAUGCACAGGAGCGCCUUAACUAGAGUGAGUGUGUGAACCUCUGCUGUGUAAACACGCCUGCAGUUUCGUGGGGAGGCUCUCUCUGCCUCGUCAGGAUGCACACACACAGAUUCCAUUCCCUCGUCCCUGAACCCCCUCCUCCUCCUCUCUUCGACUUCCCUCGCCUCUCUUCUCUCCUUUCGUCACCAAUUGCUCCUUUCUUCACCUCCAAUUCUCUCUUCUGCUCCCCCACUUUUUCACUGUGAUUUACAGCUCCCUGGCCCCUCCCCACACCUCGGCAGCACAUUAAGAGCAUUUAAACUGUGGCCGUUACUAAACAGGGGUCUUUAUGGAGCCGCUCCGCACAUCUAAAGCCCAUUACAGCUACAUCAAAGUGGGAUAACAAUGACUAAUGAACAAUAGAUAUCAUGAGAGACUGUGCCAAAUCAGUAUUCACUGUUUCCACGAGGGUGUGGGUGUGUGUAUGUGUAUGUGUGUGAGCAAUCAAAUCUCCAUUAACUUUCUCUUGCAAUAAAUGUGAGUCUGUGGGUUGUGCACCAGGCUGUUGAUGUGUGUAUCUUGGGUUGCAGUUAUGUGUUUUUGUUUGUGAAAAUUGCACUGCUACAAUCACAGGAACAAACCAUGUGAAGAAUAUUUUUACCCACGAGCGUACAGUCUGGUCUUGGAUUAAAACAGCAGGGAACAAACACAUAAUAAUCCCCCCCAACUCCAACAGGCAGCUUUAGCACUGCACUCCUACCUUCUCACCUGAACAGAAACCACCCUCGCUCUUUCCCGUCUCGGAGAGCUCUGAGCCUCUGUGAGUGUGGAGGUAUUUUGAGGGCUUUGCCCAGCGCUGCACCGCUGAAUAGAGAAGGUGGGAGAUGCGUCCCAUAAUCCCAUAAUGGCAGGUACAUGAUGACAGGGGGGACCUGUGUAAUCCUCUUUCUGAUGCAGCUAUCAUUGUCCCUACCCCAGCCACUUUCCCUACUAAUCCCUCCACCUGCACCUCAACCCAGCACCCAAACACACACAGAGGAACACACCGAAGUGAGCUGUACUGAUCGGACUGAUUGUUGCAUAGUUUGCACCAAUAAUCGCACAAAAAAAGGAAUAUUGAUACUCAUUAUUGUCAAUUUCAGUCAUCGGUUAUCACACAAUACCAGUCAAUAAUGAAAGUGAUGGUUAUUUUAUUUUUUCCCACAUUGUGUCCACAUACAGAUCCACUCAUAGACUUCCACCUGCACUGGCUCUGAAGCAGACUUGUUCAGGUAUAGUACUCACAAACUGCCCACUCAUACUGCAAACAGAGCAAAUUAAAGCUCCUAUGAGGAGUUCUUGGUGGGUGAUGAAAUCAACUAAAAUGUACAGUAAUGUGUCUCUGUGAUGUGUAAAAGCAAAUUGCACCAUUGAUGACAAAAUUAACCAUUUCUUUAUUGUAAUUUUGAAUGUCUGUAACUGCUGUUAAGGUGGAGGUACGCUGAAGUAUUCACGGUGAGGCAGGGCUCAACAGUGCGACUAUUUCACUCACAUUUGCAACCAAAAACAGAUGUGUGCGAAUUGUAAAAUGCAUUUAGGGGCACAUGUGCGCAAUACAUAAUUAGCCGAGGCAACAAAUGUUUUUUCUUGUAAGUACUGCGGUGAAGUUAGUUUUAAGUUGGCUAUUUGACGGACGUUCACUGCGGAUCUGCCAGUGUCUUCUCACUCUCCUUAACUGGGAAUAGCAACAGCAGGGCGGUUAAAUCUACUCGGCAUCCUCGCUGUCAAUGUCGGGUGUUGAAUGAGGGACUGUCAAUAAAUUACUGGUUGGUUUUCUCAGAGAGGGCUGUUUUCCUUCAAUAGCUUCCAUAUCAUGUGACCAAUUGACCUUAAAAUUGAUUUCAAAUAAUCGAACUAAGAUCGGACAAUAGACACACCUCUUUAUUUUCCAAAGUCGCCCUCUAAAAAAAAAUUUCUACAAGAGACCUAAAAUUGAUUACCAAUGAUAGUACUUAGGUCAACACAUUAUUUGAUCAGUUUUCAUUGUGCCCCUAAAUUUCUUUGUGUUCUCCUUACUUUUUCAACUCAAAAGCUUAUGUGCUCCAAGCCCUGUGAGGGAAUAAUUUCACCUUAAAAAGAAAACAGGGGGAGGUUUUUGUCACUUUAACACAUGAGACAAAACCAGAUAGAAUGCAAGAGUUAUUACUUUGUCCACAGGGGGCGCCAUAGUCAACACAGAAAAUUCCUCGCAGGAUCUUUAAAUAAAGUUCUCCCCCAAAAAGAUAUUUGAAAGCUUAUUUCAAGAGUUUAAAUGUUUUCAUUUGUUUGUAAAAUGCAUUUUAAGAUGAUGACACACAGGCCUGUUUGGUACCAUUUUUUAAUAAGAUAAAACAAGAAGAACUUUAUUGAUCCCCAAAGGGAUAUUCAGUCAUAUAUAUAUGUAAUGUAACAUAUAUGAAAGAGACCCAUGAGAGAAAUUGGAUGACAGAGUAAAUAGUUAGGGGAGGAAUAACUGUGCUGCUAAAACCAAUGUAAGAUUGAUCUGAUUUAAUGAUGAACAGUUUUGGCAAGGUUGCUUCAUUUGCAAAUGUCGACUACCCUUGAAAAAUCCACUGUCACUCAGUUGACCCUGCUUGCUUGACUUCACCUUUGUUAUGAGGCUUAUCUAUACAUUUGUCUCUGAUUGGCUCAUCUUAAAACCUUAACUUUUUUAUCAAGUUUAGGAGACUUUCAAAUUUCAAACAUUGUUAGACUUUCUCUUAAAACACCAUUUUGUCCUCAGAUUGUGGCUUAAAGAAAAACCGCUGUUUUGUGUCUGUGUGUAUGUCUCGAGUGUCGUCACAGUUUAAGAAUACAUGUCUAAAGGUUUGAAAACACAAAACACACCCACAUACUGUACAUGCCAUCAUUUGUACUUUCACUCAUACACACACACACACACACACACACACAGGCUAGCAGGGACCUAUUGAACACAACAGUAAGCCGCUCACAGCCACACACACACACACAGAAAAGAGAGGACACUCUCUUGUUGACAUAAAAUAUAUAAUCCUUCCCCUUUCAGAGAUAUAGAUUUUCAGGCACAACUAAAGGACAGCAAUCCUUGACCUAACCACUGAGCGCCUUGUUAAAUCUUCACACACUGUGCACUGCUCACACAUCACUUUUAACAAGAGGAGCCUGGUUAUUAAAUAUAGUUCCUCCUCUGAUGUGAGUGGCUUAGGGUAUCUUAACUGAUCAAGAGGGAGGACCCCUUUCAAAGUGUUAGCAAAGUUUCAACUAAAAACUUAUACAAUAUAGUAGUGCAUGUAAAAUCAGAGAAUUGCUCUUUACUUGUUUAUAACUCAGCUUGUAUAAAACAUCUUCAUCUGAAUAAAUUUAAGAUUUAGAACUAGAAUGAAAAUGAGGUUUAGUUCUCACACUGUGCUCCUUUUUUUUCAUUUUCACCUGUUAUAAUAACAGGUUUAAAGUUAGCGCAUGUUAAAGCAGAUACACGUAAAAACUAACCGUCACAACUAAAGACAUCAAAUAAAAAUCGCCCAGUGGGUUCUUUAUGAAGAAAAUUCUCAUUAUCUGACAGACACAAGCACAUCCAACAGAAAGUCAUUAAUAUAAUCAAUAAUAGAAAUAAGCACAGCCUGACCAACAUGUCAACAAGCCAAAUGAAGCUCACAGACAUCAUGACCAUAUUUUGCACUCUUAAGUGCAUGAAAAAUAAAAGCUUUUUAAUAUCAAUACACCAGAAAUAGCCAACUCCAGUCCUCUUCAGAGAGGCCAGCGGUAUGUGGAAAAAAAAGAUCAUUUGUUCAGAAACACUCAGCCUGUCUUUAUGUGAGCUGGAUGUUCAAUCUGUGCCAAACAAAAGCAUCUUCCUUUUUUAUUUACCUCAUAAAACCAUCCCCAGAGUCUACCUGCGAGCGCACUGACCACGGCGCCCUCGGGCCGAGGGGUCGUCGACCUUUCACCCUGACCCCCUCAGCUGGUCAAACUCUAACCCUGGAACAGAUGGAUAACGGACUCGAUGCUUUAUCUCCUCCUGACCACACUCUCCUUCUCCCCGCACUCACCGUCGGUUUUCCUUUCACCUCCAUUUUCCUUCAUCUUCACUUUCUUGCUCCUCAUCAUCUAAACUCUCAGAUCUUGAUUUACCUGUGCUCACCUGUGCGCUCUACCCUGUUUUCCCAGCACUUUUUUCACACUCCUUCUCAUGACUCCCACUGUUUAUUUUCCUCCUCUUUCCAUCCUCACACAUGGUGCUUCUUUUCUACUGUGUGUUUGUUUGUCAGCACUUCUCCUGGCUGAAUUUUGAGCUUUGUUAUCUGAAUAUCAGAGUGUAACAACGGCCGUGCCAAAAAGUGUAACACCCUGCGUCAAUUCCGGUUAUUGAACGGUGUUUAUUUAACAUUUUUCUACAUGCAUUGGCUCUUUUCCAAAUAUGACAUCUGAAAAAUACAGAAUUUUUGAUGCAGUGAUAUAAAAUAGAAAAAAGAGGAAAAUUAAAGGUGUAAUUCCCCUUUUUUCUUCAUGAUAACUUGCAAAAUACUAAACUAAACCUGGUUUUAAUGAUAAUUUAAUAAAAAAAAUAUAGUGUUUAUGAUAAAUCCUGUGACUCGGUUGAAUUGUUUCUAAUAAAAUGGUGACAAAGUCAUUAGUCAGAGUCUGAGUCAGCUCCUGCAUCUUUAAAUUAACAUUUCAUUGAAGCAGCAGAAUAAUAUUUUAGUAUGGUCUAAAUAACUCUCCAGAAUUCCCCCUCUUCUCUCCUCUUGUGUUAAUGCAUGGCAUCAUUAUAAACAUUUAUGCAGCGCAGGAGCCUCUCGUGCCAAAGGGGCUGACGCUCUUGCGGAUCGAACCUUUCGAUUGAUACUGAAACAAUUUGCAUACUGAUUCUCUUUCAGUGCGCACGGAUCCAUAACAACACCGGCCAGCUAUUCAAAUGCGCCUGCAUCGAGAAAAGCAGGGAGAGAAGCCCGGCACCGGAGCAGGAGGGAAACACGGGCUGUUUUUUACCGGACGGAUCAUUUGCUUAAACUUGAAGCGGAGAAGUCAUCUCCAUGCAGCCGCUGUGAGGAUGUUUACCGCAGGCUGGACUGUGUGUGGACUCCGAAGCUGGGGAUCGGAGGAGGAGGAGGACGAGGGAGAGAGAGGGUGGGACGGGAGAAACACACGGAGGAGACGCGCGGAUGUGAGCACGUCCCUCCGCUUCUUCUUCCAGCUCGUGUUUGUUGGAGUUAAAAGAGUCCAAGUAUAGGCUGUAGAUGUUUCAGCUCUGUGGUUGGGAGAGAGCUGGGCGGCUGUUAAAGAUGCAUGACAGAAACGGAUGCUGCGGUAAAGUCGGGGACUACAUCUGAGAGUGUGUGUGUGGGUGUGUUGGUGUGUGUGCGUCCUUUUGUACAGUGCGUGCGCGGUGUGUUUUCUGUGUGUGGCGCCGAGGAGAAGAGAAGUUUUAACGCAGACAUUUUGCACUCUGGCACCCUGUUGAGAAGAAAGAUGGAC